rnacentral:rRNA from 1 species
UCCGGAUUUAUUGGGCGUAAAGAGCUCGUAGGCGGCUUGUUACGUCGUUCGUGAAAACUUGGGGCUCAACCCCAAGCUUGCGGUCGAUACGGGCAGGCUAGAGUUCGGUAGGGGAGACUGGAAUUCCUGGUGUAGCGGUGAAAUGCGCAGAUAUCAGGAGGAACACCGGUGGCGAAGGCGGGUCUCUGGGCCGAUACUGACGCUGAGGAGCGAAAGCGUGGGGAGCGAACAGG